rnacentral:tRNA from 1 species
GCGGAAGUAGUUCUGUGGUAGAAUACAACCUUGCCAAGGUUGGGGUCGCGGGUUCGAAUCCCGUCUUCCGCUCCA